GGACAACCUAACCUGAAGAGGGGGAUAACCCCGGGAAACUGGGGAUAAUACCCCAUAGGCUAUGAAUGCUGUAAUGCUUUGUAGUUGAAAGGUCCGCCGCUUCAGGAUGGGUCUGCGGCCGAUUAGGUUGUUGUUGGGGUAACGGCCCAACAAGCCUGUAAUCGGUACGGGUUGUGGGAGCAAGAGCCCGGAGAUGGAUUCUGAGACACGAAUCCAGGCCCUACGGGGCGCAGCAGGCGCGAAAACUUUACAAUGCGAGCAAUCGUGAUAAGGGAACUCCGAGUGCCUGUAAAAUCAGGCUGUCCGCCAGUGUAAAAAACUGGUGAAGAAAGGGCCGGGCAAGACCGGUGCCAGCCGCCGCGGUAAUACCGGCGGCUCGAGUGGUGGCCACUAUUACUGGGCUUAAAGCGUUCGUAGCUGGUUUGUUAAGUCUCUGGGGAAAUCUUCCGGCUCAACCGGAAGGCGUCUCAGGGAUACUGGCAGACUAGGGACCGGAAGAGGUGAGAGGUACUCCAGGGGUAGGAGUGAAAUCCUGUAAUCCUUGGGGGACCACCUGUGGCGAAGGCGUCUCACCAGGACGGCUCCGACAGUGAGGAACGAAAGCUGGGGGAGCAAACCGGAUUAGAUACCCGGGUAGUCCCAGCCGUAAACGAUGCGCGUUAGGUGUAUCGGUGACCACGAGUUACCGAGGUGCCGAAGAGAAAUCGUGAAACGCGCCGCCUGGGAAGUACGGUCGCAAGGCUGAAACUUAAAGGAAUUGGCGGGGGAGCACCACAACAGGUGGAGCCUGCGGUUUAAUCGGACUCAACGCCGGGAAACUCACCGGACAAGACAGCUGAAUGAUAGUCGGGCUGAAGACUCUACUUGACUAGCUGAGAGGUGGUGCAUGGC
rnacentral:rRNA from 1 species